UGAAAAAAUUAAUGCAUAUUUUUUUGGAAAAACUUAAUUUACUAGUUUUAAUUUUUUUUGAAAGUCAAGUCUCUAAAUUAGAAGAAUUUGACGAAAAGGAAGAAAAAGUGACUAAUAAACCAAAAAUCAAAGGUCUUCAUGUAAAACUUUGAGUGAUUAUUCUUUCAUUUUUUUAAAAUAAAUAAGUUUUUUUUAUAUGAAAUAUUUUA
rnacentral:misc_RNA from 1 species